rnacentral:lncRNA from 1 species
CUCUCUCCCCACUCUCCCUUCUCCUCUCACUCACUCUCGCUCCAAUAACUACGACGAAGCAGCCGAUUCCGACUUCUUUAUCUCGCCUCCGCCACCACCUGGCACUGAAUCGCUUUGAGUAAGAUCUAUCUCUUGUCAUUUAAGUUCUUCAUUCGCGUUUUUGUUGUAAAAACCCUAAAUUAGAUUUGUUUUCAAAAUUAAUCGGGGGUUAUAUAAUUUGAAAAUUAUUUAGGGUUCUUAAUCAUAUCAUGUUCAUUGGGAUGCUAUUAAUUACCGAUACAUAUUAUGUUGGUAGUUUCUCUACAAAUUAGAUUUAAUGGUGGAAUAAUACUGGUGAAGGAAUUUGGAUUUUUUUUUUAAAUUUGGGAGCAUGUUUGUUGUCAUAGAAUAAACGAGGGUUUAAUACAGGUGUUCCGUGAAUAGCCCAAGAAAAUUGUUACUAAUAGAGUUGUUUGGUGACUAAAUAAAGUUUUUUAUACUUUCACUUCUCUAAUAUCAAUAUUGAUUUCCAGACAUGGGUGAAAGCUUCAACCUAUAGUUUCCUUGAAUUUGAUUGAAGUUUAUCCAACUUGGAGUCCAGGUGAUCUAUUCGAUGAAUGGGUUAUUCAAUUUCCAGGUAUAAUUUGAUUAUUGUUUCUCCCCAUUAUCGUAAAUGGUUAUUUAUAUAUGUGUUAAUAUAAUUAAUGAAUAAUGCAGUCAUAUAUGAUUUGGGAAUUUGUUAAGCAAGAAAGCUUAUGGUUGUAAAUGUUGCACAAACACUUCCAGAAAUACAUGUGGGAGUUAUGACAAUAUAUUUUCUGGUAAG